AGUGAACGCUGGCGGUAGGCCUAACACAUGCAAGUCGAACGGCAGCACAGUAAGAGCUUGCUCUUACGGGUGGCGAGUGGCGGACGGGUGAGGAAUACAUCGGAAUCUACUUUUUCGUGGGGAUAACGUAGGGAAACUUACGCUAAUACCGCAUACGACCUACGGGUGAAAGCAGGGGAUCUUCGGACCUUGCGCGACUGAAUGAGCCGAUGUCGGAUUAGCUAGUUGGCGGGGUAAAGGCCCACCAAGGCGACGAUCCGUAGCUGGUCUGAGAGGAUGAUCAGCCACACUGGAACUGAGACACGGUCCAGACUCCUACGGGAGGCAGCAGUGGGGAAUAUUGGACAAUGGGCGCAAGCCUGAUCCAGCCAUACCGCGUGGGUGAAGAAGGCCUUCGGGUUGUAAAGCCCUUUUGUUGGGAAAGAAAAGCAGCAGGUUAAUACCCCGCUGUUCUGACGGUACCCAAAGAAUAAGCACCGGCUAACUUCGUG
rnacentral:rRNA from 1 species